rnacentral:rRNA from 1 species
GAUGAACGCUGGCGGCGUGCCUAAUACAUGCAAGUCGAGCGAACAGACGAGAGUGCUUGCACUCUCUGACGUUAGCGGCGGACGGGUGAGUAACACGUGGGUAACCUACCUAUAAGACUGGGAUAACUUCGGGAAACCGGAGCUAAUACCGGAUAAUAUUUAGCUUCGCAUGAAGCAAUAGUGAAAGACGGUUCUGCUGUCACUUAUAGAUGGACCCGCGGUGUAUUAGCUAGUUGGUGAGGUAACGGCUCACCAAGGCAACGAUACAUAGCCGACCUGAGAGGGUGAUCGGCCACACUGGGGCUGAGACACGGCCCAGACUCCUACGGGAGGCAGCAGUAGGGAAUCUUCCGCAAUGGACGAAAGUCUGACGGAGCAAUGCCGCGUGAGUGAAGAAGGUUUUCGGAUCGUAAAACUCUGUUGUAAGGGAAGAACAAGUACGUUAGUAACUGAACGUACCUUGACGGUACCUUACCAGAAAGCCACGGCUAACUACGUG